rnacentral:piRNA from 1 species
UCAUUGAAGUUUUUUAAAUCA